rnacentral:rRNA from 1 species
UACGAAGGGGGCUAGCGUUGUUCGGAAUCACUGGGCGUAAAGGGCGCGUAGGCGGCCGAUCAAGUCGGGGGUGAAAGCCUGUGGCUCAACCACAGAAUUGCCCUUCGAUACUGGUUGGCUUGAGACCGGAAGAGGUAAGUGGAACUGCGAGUGUAGAGGUGAAAUUCGUAGAUAUUCGCAAGAACACCAGUGGCGAAGGCGGCUCACUGGCCCGAUACUGACGCUGAGGCACGAAAGCGUGGGGAGCAAACAGG